rnacentral:misc_RNA from 1 species
GAUGAAGAACGUAGCGAAAUGCGAUAAGUAAUGUGAAUUGCAGAAUUCAGUGAAUCAUCGAAUCUUUGAACGCACAUUGCGCCCGCCAGUAUUCUGGCGGGCAUGCCUGUUCGAGCGUCAUUUCAACCCUCAGGCCGCCAGUGCCUGGUGUUGGGGAUCGGCCCAGCCUUCCUGUAAGGCCGCCGGCCCCGAAAUCUAGUGGCGGUCUCGCUGUAGUCCUCCUCUGCGUAGUAGCACAACCUCGCAGUUGGAACGCGGCGGUGGCCAUGCCGUUAAACACCCCACUUCUGAAAGUUGACCUCGGAUCAGGUAGGAAUACCCGCUGAACUUAAGCAUAUCAAUAAGCGGAGGA